rnacentral:rRNA from 1 species
UGGGGAAUAUUGGACAAUGGGCGCAAGCCUGAUCCAGCCAUGCCGCGUGAGUGAUGAAGGCCCUAGGGUUGUAAAGCUCUUUCAACGGUGAAGAUAAUGACGGUAACCGUAGAAGAAGCCCCGGCUAACUUCGUGCCAGCAGCCGCGGUAAUACGAAGGGGGCUAGCGUUGUUCGGAAUCACUGGGCGUAAAGCGCGCGUAGGCGGAUUGUUAAGUUAGAGGUGAAAUCCCAGGGCUCAACCCUGGAACUGCCUUUAAUACUGGCAAUCUAGAGAUCGAGAGAGGUGAGUGGAAUUCCUAGUGUAGAGGUGAAAUUCGUAGAUAUUAGGAAGAACACCAGUGGCGAAGGCGGCUCACUGGCUCGAUACUGACGCUGAGGUGCGAAAGCGUGGGGAGCAAACAGGAUUAGAUACCCCCGUAGUCC